AAAGAAUCCUCACUUAUGGCGGAGGAAAACCGUGGUAACAAAUCUCAAGCACCUAAGUUUACUAAAUAAAACAAUAACGCCCAAAACCAAGGUGUUAUACAACCAAAGAGAAACAUAUGCUAAAAUAAAUACAAUCAGACCAAGCCCUCUAGAAAAAAUCUCAAAAAGACUCUAAACAAAUAAAGCUCAUUUCUCUCAAAUGUAAGGCAUACCCAACUAUCCAUACGAAUCAAACCUCGCAAACGGCUUUGUAAAACUUCCAAACCAUCAAACUCUAAAUUAAUUCCAUCAGAACCUUCUUUCGCCAAAAAAUUUGCUACCAUAUUUGCUUCGCGAAAAAUGUGCCUAAAACGAGCAUUGAUCUCAUGAGCAAGCUCUUUGAUCUCUUCCCAAAAAUUCCAAAGAAACCAAAGUCGACAAAUUCCUGAUGCAAGCAAAUUCAUGACAACCAAUGAAUCC